UAGUCCAAGCCGUAAACGAUGUACACUAGUUGUUGGUAUAAAAAUAUAUCAGUAAUGCAGUAAACACAUUAAGUGUACCGCCUGGGGAGUACGGUCGCAAGAUUAAAACUCAAAGGAAUAGACGGGGACCCGCACAAGCGGUGGAGCAUGUGGUUUAAUUCGACGAUACGCGAAGAACCUUACCUGGACUUGACAUAGUAAGAAUUUUCGAGAAAUCAAAGAGUGUCUACUUGUAGAAGCUUAUAUACAGGUGCUGCAUGGCUGUCGUCAGCUCGUGUCGUGAGAUGUUGGGUUAAGUCCCGUAAACGAGUCGCAACCCUUAUAUUUAUUUACUAACAGUUCGGCUGAGGACUAUAAAUAGACUGCCUAUGAAAGUAGGAGGAAGGUGGGGACGACGUCAAGUCAUCAUGGCCCUUAUGUCCAGGGCUACACACGUGCUACAAUGGUGUAAAUAGAGAGUUGCAAAAUCGUAAGAUGGAGCUAAUCUUAUAAAUAACAUCUCAGUUCGGAUAGU
rnacentral:rRNA from 1 species